AUACUAUAUAUAUAUAUAGAAUGAGUUGAGCUGGAAUGCUAUCGGUAGCAAACGGGCUCCGUUGCCACCCAUUUGUUUUCGAUGAUGGAGCUUUUAAAUUGACGAUCGGCACCGUUGAACAUGAUCUAUAUCAGUUGAAGUAUCUAGAAAUCAAAUUUCAAAUCUUUUCGACAUCAUUUACCUAAUGAUCAAAGGGUUUCAAAAUUAGUAAUUUUAAUGGUUGAUAUGAGGGGUUUUCUUGUUUAACGGUGUAAAGCUAUCCAAAUCAAUUAAAUUUUGGUUAGAAAAUUCUUUAAACUAUUUAGAAUAAGAUCUAUACUCUCGAUCAAGAUUACAAAAUUUUUAUCAUCACUUUUCAGAGAAUAUUCAUUUUCAGCCAUUCAUUUUUACGCCCACUUGAUGGACAAGAAAACAAUAUGGAAAAAGUAUGAAAUUUGAUUUCUAGAUACUUCAAGUGGUAUAGAUCAUUUUCAACAGUGCCGAUCGUCGAUUUGGAGGCACCAUCAUCGAAAACAAAUGGGUGGCAACGGAGUCCGUUUGCUACUGAUAGUAUUCCAGCUCAACUCUAUAUAGAAUUAUGCUACUAUACUAUUAAUAGUACCAAACUCUUGAUACUAUUGAGUUUUCAGCCAUUGAAUGAAAGGAUGUACGGUUAGGAUGAUGGUGGUCUCCGGUUAAAUUGAUAGUGGUCCCCUAGGGUUGAGUGGGUGGUUGGUUCAAUAGUAUAAUCUAACGGGUGAAAAUGAUUAAAAGGUAGAUCUAACGAUAGAAAACUCAAUAGUACCAAAGGCUUGGUACUAUUGAUAGUAUAGUAGCCAGACUCAUAUAUAUAUAUAUAUAUACAUAUAUAUAUAUAUAUAUAUAUACAUAUAUAUAUACAUAUACAUAUAGAAUUAGACUGGAAUACUAUUAGUAGUAAAACACUCUUUUUGCUAUCAAGUUUUUAACCCUUGGAUGAAAAAUUGUAGGGUUAGGAUGAUAUUAGUCGGUUAGAGUUGAGUGGUCCUCCUAGGGUUGAGUGGUCCCUACUGGGUUAUAGUAUUUAAUCCAAUGGCUAGAAAUGAUGAAAAGAGUUGAUCCAAUGGCUAAAAAACUGGUAGCAACAAUAGAAUUUUGCUACUAAUAGUAGCCCAGUCCAACUCUA
rnacentral:lncRNA from 1 species